CCUACGGGCGGCAGCAGUGGGGAAUAUUGCACAAUGGGGGAAACCCUGAUGCAGCGACGCCGCGUGAGUGAAGAAGUAUUUCGGUACGUAAAGCUCUAUCAGCAGGGAAGAAAAUGACGGUACCUGACUAAGAAGCCCCGGCUAACUACGUGCCAGCAGCCGCGGUAAUACGUAGGGGGCAAGCGUUAUCCGGAUUUACUGGGUGUAAAGGGAGCGUAGACGGCAGCGCAAGUCUGGAGUGAAAUCCCAUGGCUUAACCAUGGAACUGCUUUGGAAACUGUGCAUCUAGAGUGCAGGAGAGGUAAGCGGAAUUCCUAGUGUAGCGGUGAAAUGCGUAGAUAUUAGGAGGAACACCAGUGGCGAAGGCGGCUUACUGGACUGUAACUGACGUUGAGGCUCGAAAGCGUGGGGAGCAAACAGGAUUAGAUACCCUAGUAGUC
rnacentral:rRNA from 1 species